rnacentral:misc_RNA from 1 species
UCCCACUUAUACGGGCAGUCUGUCUAAAGUGCUCGCCGGCUCAUCACCGACGGUGGCAACUAGACACAAGGGUUGCGUUCGUUGCGGGACUUAACCCAACACCUCACGGCACGAACUGACGACAGCCAUGCAGCACCUGUGCAGCACCCUCGAAGGAAUCCCGCUUUCACGGGACGUGCAGCUGCAUGUCAAGCCUUGGUAAGGUUCUUCGCGUUGCAUCGAAUUGAGCCACAUGCUCCUCCGCUUGUGCGGGCCCCCGUCAAUUUCUUUGAGUUUUAACCUUGCGGCCGUACUCCCCAGGCGGUACACUUAACGCGUUAGCUCCGGCACGGAGAGGGUCAAUCCCCCCCACACCAAGUGUACACCGUUUACAGCUAGGACUAC